rnacentral:rRNA from 1 species
UACGUAGGGUGAGAGCUUUAAUCGGAAUUACUGGGCGUAAAGCGUGCGCAGGCGGCUUUGCAAGACAGAUGUGAAAUCCCCGGGCACAACCUGGGAACUGCAUUUGUGACUGCAAGGCUAGAGUACGGCAGAGGGGGAUGGAAUUCCGCGUGUAGCAGUGAAAUGCGUAGAUAUGCGGAGGAACACCAAUGGCGAAGGCAAUCCCCUGGGCCUGUACUGACGCUCAUGCACGAAAGCG